rnacentral:lncRNA from 1 species
GCGGAUAUGUAUAUUACAUAUAUAAUUCUGUAAUAUAUACAGGGUCGUUCUUGAGCACGGGUGGGAGGAUUGACCACGCUGGGUAAGAAGCAUACUUUUACCAUACCUUACAAAAUUACAUAUGAACAAUUGCAGUUCAGUAGGAAUUACAAAACACAUGCAUAUCCAGUUCAUCAUUCAGUGAUCCAAAAUAGAUAAGCCGGAUGCCAUCUUUCUGACUCCAGUUACUCACCAUGCAUGCAAUACGUACCAAGCUGGGUAAAAAAAUUGAAAUGAUAAGUAGCAGCACACUAGAGAAAAAAUAACAAUAGGUAAUAGCUCACCGAUCUAAUAAUCAAUUUCAAACUGAAAAAAUAUUUUUUGGGUUUUCUUAACCACCUAAUCAACCAAAAAAUCGUCAUCAUCCGCUUCUUCUGAAGAUGACACUGACACUUCUACCAUGCUUGUGUUAUUUACUCUCUAGAAAGCUUUCGAAAUUUGAUAAUUUUC